AUACUUACCUAGAUUGGAUCUAUGGCUGAUCAUGAAGGGUCAUGGCCUAGGUUUGCGACUUCCAUUGCACUUUGGAAGGGCGCUCGCCUAAGAUCUAUUCUCAUGGUAGAGUCUACGUCAUAAUUUGUUUCCUAGGGGGUGUGCGUCCGCGCUGUCCCUGC